CCAGCAGCCGCGGUAAUUCCAGCUCUUAUAGUGUAUAUUAAAGUUGUUGCAGUUAAAAAGCUCGUAGUCUAUCAUCUAGCACUUUGCGCUGCUGGCUCGCGCCAGCGCGUUUUAAAGUGCUAUCUGUUCGAGAACUUCUCCUACCUUAACUGGUCGGAGAUGCUGAUCGGGCAUUUUCCUGAGAAAAAAUUAGAGUGUUCAAAGCAGGCUAAUGCUAUGAAUAGUACAGCUUGGAAUAAUAGAAUAAGACUGAAGUCUCUUUUGUUGGUUAUGAACUUUAGUAAUGGUUAAUAUAAACAGUCGGGGGUAUUAGUAUUUAAGUGUCAGAGGUGAAAUUCUAUGAUUACUUAAAGACUAACUUAU
rnacentral:rRNA from 1 species